rnacentral:rRNA from 1 species
UACGAAGGGGGCUAGCGUUGCUCGGAAUUAUUGGGCGUAAAGGGUAGGUAGGUGGUCUCAUUUGUCUGGGGUGAAAGCCUUGAGCUUAACUCAAGAAGUGCCCCAGAAACGGUGAGACUGGAGUCCUGGAGAGGGUCGUGGAAUUCCCGGUGUAGAGGUGAAAUUCGUAGAUAUCGGGAGGAACACCAGUGGCGAAGGCGGCGAUCUGGGAAGAUACUGACGCUGAGGUGCGAAAGCGUGGGGAGCAAACGGG